rnacentral:lncRNA from 1 species
UUCAGGACAUCCUUAUAUUUCUCCUGAUUUGUUUGUUUGUUUGUUUGUUUUUUUUUAGGAUAUGUAUCAAUCCAGCCAAAUGAGAGUUCUGGGUACUCCUGGUGAUCAGGAAGAAACAUCAGUAGGAGGUCUGUAUGGUUUUGACCUUCUGAAAGAUGUUCCCACCAUCCCCUUUACUGAGUCAGAAAUGGAAAUACAACCUCAUAUGAACAAAAGAGUCAUAAAAAUCCAGUGGCCAGACAAAAUUCCAGACAACUGAUGAUGACUUGGGAUGCGGUGGAUGACCUUGGCUUUUCAGUAUCAAAUCAAGUUCUAAACACUCCACAGUGUCUGCGUCAUACUGCUUUCAGAGCCCCUGGAAGAAAUUGUUUGCAUCCACCCCUUCUGCUGGGGUAAGUCUUCAUGUGCCUGCGGUAGGUACCCCACUAACUCAGUGACGUCUGAGGUCUGUUAGGUAUCCUUAACCUGGGUUAGCCUACCUGCUUACAUGGUUUACUGGGUUUUGGCCACUGUGCAUGCUAUGGCUUCUUGGAGCCACAAGCAAGAGCUGGGUGGCAGGUAGACACCAAUGGAGGGAAUUAGUCCUAAAAAAGGCUCAGCAAGUCCUCACACCAGAGGUACAAUCUUCCCUGAGCACUCCAUAUACCCCAUCUCCCUUUUAUAAGUCCUGUUCAAAGGGAUAUUUCUGAGUCAUGAUAUCCCAGGCUGUUCAAAUCAUCCUUAUAGAGUAAGAUUUAAACAUUCUCCAUGAGGUGUCUUUGAAUAUAAAAGAACUCAAACCCAAGAGAUGUUCUCAAUUC